UAAAAAACUAGUUAAUUUAUAACAUUAGAAUGUCAAUCUAAAAUAACUAAUAGUGUUUUUUAA
rnacentral:tRNA from 1 species